AACUUUCAGCAAUGGAUCUCUUGGCUCUCGCAUCGAUGAAGAACGCAGCGAAAAGCGAUAUGUAAUGUGAAUUGCAGAUCUACAGUGAAUCAUCGAAUCUUUGAACGCA
rnacentral:rRNA from 2 species